CACGUAGGCGGAUAUUUAAGUCAGGGGGUGAAAUCCCCAGAGCUCAACUCUGGAACUGCCUUUGAUACUGGGUAUCUUGAGUAUGGAAGAGGUAAGUGGAAUUCCGAGUGUAGAGGUGAAAUUCGUAGAUAUUCGGAGGAACACCAGUGGCGAAGGCGGCUUACUGGUCCAUUACUGACGCUGAGGUGCGAAAGCGUGGGGAGCAAACA
rnacentral:rRNA from 1 species